AGCGAACGCUGGCGGCAGGCCUAACACAUGCAAGUCGAACGAACCCUUCGGGGUUAGUGGCAAACGGGUGAGUAACACGUGGGAACCUGCCUCGAAGUGGGGGAUAACGAUUGGAAACGGUCGCUAAUACCGCACGGUUCUGCUCUGAUGGGAAUGGAGCAGAUAAAGAUUUAUCGCUUUGAGAGGGGCCCGCGGCCGAUUAGCUAGUUGGUAAGGUAAAGGCUUACCAAGGCGAUUAUCGGUAGCUGGUCUGAGAGGACGAUCAGCCACACGGGAACUGAGACACGGUCCCGACUCCGUACGGGGGGCAGCAGUGAGGAAUAUUGGGCAAUGGGCGAAAGCCUGACCCAGCAACGCCGCGUGGAGGAUGAAGGCUUUAGGGUUGUAAACUCCUUUUGUGGGGAAAGAAUGGAUGGUACCCCAAGAAUAAGUCACGGCUAACUACGUG
rnacentral:rRNA from 1 species